CACGCCGUAAACGAUGAGUGCUAGAUGUCGGAAGAUUUUCUUUCGGUUUCGCAGCUAACGCAUUAAGCACUCCGCCUGGGGACUACGAUCGCAAGAUUAAAACUCAAAGGAAUUGACGGGGGCUCGCACAAGUGGUGGAGCAUGCGGUUUAAUUCGAUGCUACGCGAAAAACCUUACCAACCCUUGACAUGGUGGUCGUAAGGCACAGAGAUGUGCUUGUCAGCUCGGCUGGACCACACACAGGUGU
rnacentral:rRNA from 1 species